AGCCCAUGAAAAGGCCAUAAUAUUAACAAAUUCUUAUAACACUCUCACGCGUCAAACAAAGAUUCCUAUUCUUCUUGCCUAAAAUUAUUAAUCUCAUUCCUAACUUGGGU